UUACGGGAGGCAGCAGUUGGGAAUCUUGGACAAUGGGGGAAACCCUGAUCCAGCCAUGCCGCGUGAGUGAUGAAGGCCUUAGGGUUGUAAAGCUCUUUUACCCGGGAAGAUAAUGACUGUACCGGGAGAAUAAGCUCCGGCUAACUUCGUGCCAGCAGCCGCGGUAAUACGAAGGGGGCUAGCGUUGUUCGGAAUUACUGGGCGUAAAGCGUGCGCAGGCGGUCUCUCAAGUCAGGGGUGAAAGCCCAGAGCUCAACUCUGGAACUGCCCUUGAAACUGUGAGGCUCGAGUGCGGGAGAGGUGAGUGGAAUUCCCAGUGUAGAGGUGAAAUUCGUAGAUAUUGGGAAGAACACCGGUGGCGAAGGCGGCUCACUGGCCCGUUUCUGACGCUCAUGCACGAUAGCGUGGGGAUCAAACAGGAUUAGAUACCCCGGU
rnacentral:rRNA from 1 species